rnacentral:rRNA from 1 species
UACGUAGGGGUGCAAGCGUUUGUCCGGAAUUAUUGGGCGUAAAGAGCUCGUAGGCGGUCUGUUGCGUCGGCUGUGAAAACCCGAGGCUCAACCUCGGGCCUGCAGCCGAUACGGGCAGGCUAGAGUUCGGCAGGGGAGACUGGAAUUCCUGGUGUAGCGGUGAAAUGCGCAGAUAUCAGGAGGAACACCGGUGGCGAAGGCGGGUCUCUGGGCCGAUGACUGACGCUGAGACGCGAAAGCGCGGGGAGCGAACGGG